AAGGUGCUACCUUGGCAACAAAUGUGAGUGAAGGCAUGGCUGAACAAAGAGUGCAGCAUACACAUACGAAGCCAAAGGUCAUUUCCGAUGGUGACGAUGAUGAGGGUGUCAUAUUCGAAGAGGAUGAUGAUGAUAACGAUGGAUACCUAUUCGCUGGGCAAUAUGAUGAGACCGACGAGGACAUCAAGAUUGAUGGUACUCAAGAAGAAUCUAUUGACACUGAUUUGC